GCGGGGAUAGCUCAGUUGGGAGAGCGUCAGACUGAAGUCCAACUUCAUUCUAAUAUCUGAAGGUCGUGCGUUCGAUCCGCACUCACCGCA
rnacentral:tRNA from 2 species